rnacentral:rRNA from 1 species
UGGGGAAUAUUCGCGCAUUUGGGGGGAACCCUGACGCAGCCAUGCCGCGUGAAUGAAGAAGGCCUUCGGGUUGUAAAGUUCUUUCGGUAUUGAGGAAGGUUGAUGUGUUAAUAGCACAUCAAAUUGACGUUAAAUACAGAAGAAGCACCGGCUAACUCCGUGCCAGCAGCCGCGGUAAUACGGAGGGUGCGAGCGUUAAUCGGAAUUACUGGGCGUAAAGCGCGCGUAGGUGGUUAUUUAAGUCAGAUGUGAAAGCCCCGGGCUUAACCUGGGAACUGCAUCUGAUACUGGAUAACUAGAGUAGGUGAGAGGGGAGUAGAAUUCCAGGUGUAGCGGUGAAAUGCGUAGAGAUCUGGAGGAAUACCGAUGGCGAAGGCAGCUCCCUGGCAUCAUACUGACACUGAGGUGCGAAAGCGUGGGUAGCAAACAGGAUUAGAUACCCUGGUAGUCCACGCUGUAAACGCUGUCGAUUUGGGGGUUGGGGUUUAACUCUGGCGCCCGUAGCUAACGUGAUAAAUCGACCGCCUGGGGAGUACGGCCGCAAGGUUA